UCAAUCACGCGUUUAGUCUACACAUGUGCCGCUCGACGGAAGGUGGUGGGGUGGUUUUCUGGGUGUAUGCGCGCCUCGCACCCCCGGCCUGUGUCGAAGGGAUGCGUCGCGCCGGUUCUGCUUCUCCCCGGCAGGGAUGAUGUGCGCUGGUGACAGAGCGGAGCUGCUGCGAAGGCGGGGUCUUGGUAAUUACUUUCGCCUGAAUGGUCCCCCUGCACUCGGCUGCUUCAAAGUUAUUGGUUCUCGCGGGAAGCCAUUGUUUGGCGUGCCGGCACUGCUGCCAGAUGAUAUUCCGAGAGCUCGCGGUCUCGCAUCGUCGGCGACCCUGGGCCCGCUCCACGGACUGAUUGCCUAGCUGCCGAUCGCACUUUCAGCAAUAUCAAUUUUUUCGGGAAUUCUCUGGUGGGCCUUGUCGCGAAGAGCUAAGAUCGAAGGCGGUUAGCUUCAAAGUUAAACUCUGGAGAUAUCUGCGGUUGACAUCAGCUGACAAGCAGUGAUCCAUCAUCUCACUCGCCGACGACCCCUGAAAUGCAUUUGGCCGCAUCGUGUGACGCAAAGCGUUCCAUCUGCGUCCUCCCCAUCAAAACGAGUAUAAAAUCUUAAUAAGUGUGCCUGGUCCAAGUUUGAGGGAGAAAGAGAGGUUUCAGGGUAGAUGAGGGUUAUUCUAUUUUAACUUUAAGCUUCACCAGGCGUAAAAAUACCAUACAAAAUGUCAGUCUUUAUUAGUUAUACAUUAUUUCCCAAAAUGAAAAAUAAAUUGGAUUUUUUUCCAUUCCUCCAGCACAACUUC